AUCGCUUCAGCAGUAUAUAUAUUAAAUUGGAAUGAUACAGAGAAGAUUAGCAUGGCCCUUUGCAAGGAUGACAUACAAAUUCGUGACGUGUUCCUUAUUUUA